GACGAACGCUGGCGGCGUGCUUAACACAUGCAAGUCGAACGGACAGGCCCUGCUUUUGUGGGGUGCUCGAGUGGCGAACGGGUGAGUAACACGUGAGUAACCUGCCCUUGACUUUGGGAUAACUUCAGGAAACUGGGGCUAAUACCGGAUAGGAGCUCCUGCUGCAUGGUGGGGGUUGGAAAGUUUCGGCGGUUGGGGAUGGACUCGCGGCUUAUCAGCUUGUUGGUGGGGUAGUGGCUUACCAAGGCUUUGACGGGUAGCCGGCCUGAGAGGUGGACCGGCGACAUUGCGACUGAGAUACGGCCCAGACUCCUACGGUCGGCAACAGUGGGGAAUAUUGCACAAUGGGCGGAAGCCUGAUGCAGCAACGUUGCGUGCGGGACGACGGCCUUCGGGUUGUAAACCGCUUUCUCCUGUGACGAAGCGGGAGUGACGGUAAUGGGUAAAGAAGCACCGGCUAACUACGUG
rnacentral:rRNA from 1 species